rnacentral:sRNA from 2 species
GGCUGUCACGCUCGCUCAGGCACGCGACAGCUGUUCCCCUCUGGAGGUUUUGACCUUCAAACUUAUCAGGCCGCGGAAAUAUCCAGCGGCCUUUUUU